GGAUAAUAUGGCAUAGUGGUUUGAGCGCUGGAUUGCAACUCUGGAGACCAGGGUUCGAAUGCCAGCUCAGCCA